rnacentral:tRNA from 1 species
GCGCGCGUGGCGGAAUUGGUAGACGCGCUAGCUUCAGGUGCUAGUGAAUGCAAAUUCGUGGAGGUUCAAGUCCUCUCGCGCGCACCA